AGUGAACGCUGGCGGUAGGCCUAACACAUGCCAGUCGAACGGCAGCACAGUAAGAGCUUGCUCUUACGGGUGGCGAGUGGCGGACGGGUGAGGAAUACAUCGGAAUCUACUUUUUCGUGGGGGAUAACGUAGGGAAACUUACGCUAAUACCGCAUACGACCUACGGGUGAAAGCAGGGGAUCUUCGGACCUUGCGCGAUUGAAUGAGCCGAUGUCGGAUUAGCUAGUUGGCGGGGUAAAGGCCCACCAAGGCGACGAUCCGUAGCUGGUCUGAGAGGAUGAUCAGCCACACUGGAACUGAGACACGGUCCAGACUCCUACGGGAGGCAGCAGUGGGGAAUAUUGGACAACGGGCGCAAGCCUGAUCCAGCCAUACCGCGUGGGUGAAGAAGGCCUUCGGGUUGUAAAGCCCUUUUGUUGGGAAAGAAAAGCAGCAGGUUAAUACCCCGCUGUUCUGACGGUACCCAAAGAAUAAGCACCGGCUAACUUCGUG
rnacentral:rRNA from 1 species